rnacentral:rRNA from 1 species
GGUGACUGCGUACCUUUUGUAUAAUGGGUCAGCGACUUAAUUUUAGUAGCAAGGUUAACCGUUUAGGGGAGCCGUAGGGAAACCGAGUCUUAACUGGGCGUCAUAGUUGCUAGGAUUAGACCCGAAACCGAGUGAUCUAGCCAUGGGCAGGUUGAAGGUGAGGUAACACUUACUGGAGGACCGAACCGACUAAUGUUGAAAAAUUAGCGGAUGACUUGUGGCUAGGGGUGAAAGGCCAAUCAAACUCGGAGAUAGCUGGUUCUCCCCGAAAGCUAUUUAGGUAGCGCCUCGGACGAAUACUACUGGGGGUAGAGCACUGUUAAGGCUAGGGGGUCAUCCCGACUUACCAACCCUUUGCAAACUCCGAAUACCAGUAAGUAAUAUCCGGGAGACACACGGCGGGUGCUAACGUCCGUCGUGAAGAGGGAAACAACCCAGACCGCCAGCUAAGGUCCCAAAGUUAUAGCUAAGUGGGAAACGAUGUGGGAAGGCUCAGACAGCCAGGAUGUUGGCUUAGAAGCAGCCAUCAUUUAAAGAAAGCGUAAUAGCUCACUGGUCGAGUCGGCCUGCGCGGAAGAUUUAACGGGGCUAAGCUAUACACCGAAGCUGCGGCAAU